GAUGAACGCUGGCGGCGUGCCUAAUACAUGCAAGUCGAACGCAUUGUGGUUGAAAUGAUAUGAAGAACUUGUUCAGAUUUGAUUUUAAACAUUGCAAUGAGUGGCGAACGGGUGAGUAACACGUGGGAAACCUACCUCUUAGCAGGGGAUAACAUUUGGAAACAAAUGCUAAUACCGUAUAAAUAAUUAAAACCGCAUGGUUUUAGUUUAAAAGAUGGUCUUGCUAUCACUAAGAGAUGGUCCCGCGGUGUAUUAGUUAGUUGGUGAGGUAAUGGCUCACCAAGACAAUGAUACAUAGCCGAGUUGAGAGACUGACCGGCCACAAUGGGACUGAGACACGGGCCCAUACUCCUACGGGAGGCAGCAGUAGGGAAUCUUCCACAAUGGACGAAAGUCUGAUGGAGCAACGCCG
rnacentral:rRNA from 1 species